rnacentral:rRNA from 1 species
CUAUGGCAUGUGCACGCUUGUCAUCUUUAUAUCUCCACUUGUGCACCUUUUGUAGAUCUGAAUACCUUUCUGAAUGCCAUAGCAUUUGGGUUUGAAGAUUGACUUUGUAGUCUUUCUUUACAUCUUCAGGUCUAUGUUUUUUCAUAUACCCCCAAUGUAUGUUACAGAAUGUUAAUAGACAGGCCUUUGUGCCUCAAAUUUAUACAACUUUCAGCAACGGAUCUCUUGGUUCUCGCAUCGAUGAAGAACGCAGCGAAAUGCGAUAAGUAAUGUGAAUUGCAGAAUUCAGUGAAUCAUCAAAUCUUUGAACGCACCUUGCGCUCCUUGGUAUUCCGAGGAGCAUGCCUGUUUGAGUGUCAUUAAUAUAUCAACCUCUAUUGCUUUUGCUUGUUGAGUGUUGGAUGUGGGGGCUUUUGCUGGUCUCUGAGGUCAGCUCCCCUAAAAUAUAUUAGCAGAACAAAUGUGUUGACUGUUCAUUGGUGUGAUAAUUAUCUACACUAUUGACAUGAAGCAGGUUCAGCUUAUAGCCAGUCCAUUAUAAUGUGGAUAAAAUAUUAGUGUGACCUCAAAUCAGGUAGGAUUACCCG